CGGUGAAUACGUUCCCGGACCUUGUACACACCGCCCGUCAAGCCAUGGAAGCUGGGUGUACCUAAAGUCGAUAACCGUAAGGAGUCGCCUAGGGUAAAACUAGUAACUGGGGCU
rnacentral:rRNA from 1 species